rnacentral:tRNA from 1 species
GCGUCAAUAGUCCAGUGGUAUAGGAUGCCGGCCCCCCAAGCCGGAGACCCGGGUUCGAAUCCCGGUUGACGCA